AUUGAACGCUGGCGGCAGGCCUAACACAUGCAAGUCGAGCGGAGCGGCGGACGGGUGAGUAAUGCCUAGGAAUCUGCCUGGUAGUGGGGGAUAACGUCCGGAAACGGGCGCUAAUACCGCAUACCAUCAGAUGAACCCAUAUCGGAUUAGCUUGUAGGUGAGGUAAAGGCUUACCUAGGCGACGAUCCGUAGCUGGUCUGAGAGGAUGAUCAGUCACACUGGGACGGAGACACGGACCAGACUCCUACGGGAGGCAGCAGUGGGGAAUAUUGCACAAUGGGCGCAAGCCUGAUGCAGCCAUGCCGCGUGUAUGAAGAAGGCCUUCGGGUUGUAAAGUACUUUCAGUCGGGAGGCGUUACCGACAGAAUAAGCACCGGCUAACUCCGUGCCAGCAGCCGCGGUAAUAC
rnacentral:rRNA from 1 species